rnacentral:lncRNA from 1 species
UGAAAACACAUGUCAGUUGUUUACUAGGUGUGAACAAGGCAUAGACAUUUCCUUAGGCUUGACAGGAAGUAUGAUCAUGUUGCCUGGAAGACUUAAUGUGGUCUAUGGAUCUUCUACAAAAUAGAUGAGCAGUUCACAGCCCAGAGAUGGGAGCAGGUGAUGAGCAAGAGACAGCACUGCAGACAAUCAAUCCCCUGGGAAGAAGGGCUCAGAGGCCUCCGGCAAUGGGAAACACCCACAACUCUGCUCUUCCCAAGGACCUCUUUGAUGAAAAUGAAACAUUUCCAAACAACCUUUCAUCAUAACUGGCAUUGCCAUGGGAAAUGUGAGAUAAUACCUGAUCCAACCCUUGUGAAAUCUCUCCCAAGCUACCAGCCUAAUUUCUUUUUCUUUUUUUUUAAAGAAGAGCUUUUAAGAUCUGGUGAUAUUUUCCUUGUAAUUUCAUGUAAACUGUACUUGUGGUACAGGAAGUGCUUCAGUCCAACUGUAUCUGCCAAUAAGGAUUUGCAAAAGUGUGUGAGAUGGAAAUGCAGAGAAGAUUGUUGUACAUUUUGUUGAGUUGAACCCAAGAGUCAAUUUUCUUUCCCUGAAAGAAAAAUUUGUCGGUAGCCCUUGCCUGCUGAUGUUCUUCCUGCAAGAAAACGCAGCUGAAUUUAUGAAUAUGAGAAGAUUAAAAAAAAUAACCAAUAGGGCACAUUCGAUGAAACCAGCCACAUGCAAAAGAGGCUUUAAGUCAUUUCUAGGAAUGCUUGGAAAGGGGCCUCAAAUGUGAAAAUCAUAAAAAAAAAUUAAUCCUUACAACUUGGCUGCU